AAAAAGGUGUUUGCUUCACCAUAAUUACCAGUGCAAUAUUUGGCAACCCCCGAACAUUUUCGCUUUGACUUUUGAAAACUUAGGGUGUUUGUCACUAAUUCAUAUUUUGAAUUUGCAAUGAUUUUGAACUACCACUUGAUUAGCAACAGUAACACGGAUGACAUGGCAUCAUUAGAAGAGUUUUACUGUAGCCUAAUUAUCCGGGCGUUACAAAUCUCCUCCACUACAAGAAAUCUCGUCCCGAGAUUUAGGAGGUAGAAGGAAACAGUGCGGGGUAUUCAUCACGCAGGCGAUCCUCACGUUCCCAAGUGGCUUCAUCUUCAGAAUCGUGCGACCACUGGACUUUGAGGAACUUGAUCGCCUUCUGGCGUGUGCGGCGUUCAGCUUGGUCGAGAAUGCGGACCGGAUGCUCUUUAUAGGAGAGAUCCUGUUGCAAUUCGAGCACUUCAUGAUCCACUCCUCGGAUCGGGUCCUUGAAGCAACGGCGGAGCUAUGAUACAUGGAACACAUCGUGAACCUGAGAAAGGUUCGGCGGAAGCUCCAGUUGAUAUGCCACUUUUCCACGCCUCUCGAGAAUAGUGAAUGGGCCAAUAUAGCGAGGAGCUAGCUUGCCCUUGAUCCCGAAGCGGUGAGCACCCUUCAUUGGUGUAACUCGAAGAUAGGCCUUUUCGCCAGGUUGAUAGACCAUGUCUUUAUGAUGACGGUCAUAAUUACUCUUUUGGCGUGACUGAGCAGGCUUGAGAUUCUCGCGAAUAAUGCGGACUUGCUCUUCGGCAUGUUGGAUAAUAUCCGGACCAAAGAGUGGACGUUCCCCAGUUUCUGACCAGUUCAGAGGGGUUCGGCACUUUCGUCCAUAUAACACUUCGAAGGGGGCCAUCUUCAGACUAGCUUGAUAGCUAUUAUUAUAAAAGAACUCAGCAUACGGGAGAGAUUCCUCCCAUUUCUUGCCGAAGGAAAUAACACAAGCUCGAAGCAUGUCUUCGAGAACUUGGUUUACACGUUCAACUUGCCCUUGCGACUGAGGAUGAAAAGCAGUACUGAAUGAUAGAUGAGUUCCCAUAGCUUCUUGGAAACUUGCCUAGAAUCUUGAAGUGAAUAAGCUGCCACGGUCCGAACUGAUAACCAGCGGAAUACCGUGAAGUGAAACAAUUCUGGACAUGUAGAGAGUUGCAAGCUGACUAGCAGUGAUCGUUUCUCUGACCGCCAGAAAAUGUGCAACUUUAGAAAGCCGGUCAAUGACGACGAGAAUAGCAUCAUUACCCUUUUGCGAUUUGGGAAAUCCAGUGACGAAGUCCAUCUCGACAUGGUCCCAUUUCCAUUCAGGAAUAGAGAUAGGUUGCAGAGUGCCAGCAGGCCUUUGAUGUUCUGCUUUGAUACGACGGCAAACGUCACACUCAGCAACAUAGCGAGCAAUGUCUUGCUUCAUAUUAGACCACCAGAAUCUCUGAUGGAUGUCUUGGUACAUCUUUGUACUACCAGGAUGGAUACAUAGAGGCAUAUCAUGAGCUUCUUUCAUAACCUUCUGAGUCAUAUCCAGGUUUUCCCUCUUACUCAGAACUACUAGGCGACCUUUGAAGAAUAAGGUGCCAUCAUCAGCAACAGUGAAGAAUGAGGGCUUUCCUUCUCUGAGAUCGCGCUUAAUCUUGUGGACUUCAUCGUCACAUUUCUGUAUCCAUUUGAUGGUGUCCACAAGAUCUGGUUUCGCAACUAGGGUAUUGAGAGAACCCCUGGGAACAACGUGGAGGUUCAUCUUGCGAAACUCCUUAGGAGGGGGAGCGAGCGCACCCGGCGGAACAAUAUGGAGGUUCAGCUUUCGAAAUUCUUCAACAAGUGAGGGCUAAACCUUGUGAAUCUGGAGGUGGUUGCAGUAAGACUUGCGGCUCAAGGCAUCAGCCAUUACAUUAGCCUUGCCUGGUGUAUAGGAAAUACCCAAGUCAAAGUCUGCGACAAUCUCCAUCCAUCUCUGCUGACAGAGGUUCAGGUUUGGCUGAGUAAACAGAUACUUUAGACUUUGGUGGUCAGUGAAGAUCUCGCAACCAUUAACGAGAAGGUAAUGUCGCCACUGCUUUAGUGCAUGAAUGACAGCAGCAAGCUCGAGGUCGUGAACUGGGUAGUUCUCUUCGUGAGGGCGCAAUUGUUGAGAGGCAUAGGCAAUAACUUUGCGGUCUUGCAUUAGGACACAGCCUAAUCCUUGACGGGAAGCGUCGCAGUAAAUGACGAAGUCCUUCUUAGUAUCAGGAGGAGCUAGUACUAGGGCAGAAGUCAACUUGUCUUUGAGUGCCUGGAAACUUUCCUGACAUUUAUCUGUCCAUUGGAACUUGACGCCCUUAUGCAACAGGUUAGUCAGGGGCCUGGCAAUCUUGGAGAAGUUCUCGACGAAUUGACGGCAAUAGCUGGCAAGACCGAGAAAACUUCUGACUUGCUUGACAUUCUUCGGAGGAGUCCAAUCGAGAAUAGCCUGAACUCGUUCAGGGUUAACGGCAAUACCAUCCUUAGAGAUGACAUGUCCAAGAUAGGUUACUUCGGGAAGCCAGAAUUCACACUUGGAGAACUUGGCAUAGAGUUGAUGCUCUCUAAGCUUUUCCAGAACAAGACGAAGAUGUUCAGCAUGUUCUUCUUCAUUAUUGGAAAAUACCAGGAUAUCAUCCAGAUAAACCACGACGAACUUGUCGAGGUAAUCCAUGAAUAUAUAGUUCAUCAGGCGAGAGAAGGUGGCUGGAGCAUUGGUUAAGCCGAAAGACAUGACGGUGUACUCGUAUGAACCAUAACGAGUCACGAAUGCGGUCUUUGGGAUAUCCUCUUCACGAACACGGAUCUGGUGGUAACCCAACCUCAAGUCGAGUUUAGAGAACACUGAUGAACCAGCCAGUUGAUCAUACAGAUCAUUGAUCCGAGGAAGAGGAUACUUAUUCUGAAUGGUAGCUUGGUUAAUAGGACGGUAGUCUUGGACCAAUCGGUUUGUCCCAUCUUUCUUCUUGACAAAGAGAGAAGGUGCUCCCCAAGGAGAGCAACUUGGGCGAAUGAAACCACUUCAAAGAGAUUUAUCAAUUUCCUCCUUAAGCUCAAGGAGUUCAUGCGGCGGCAUCUCGUAAGGUCGCUUGGCUAUAGGAGUGGUGCCUGGUUUCAAGUCGAUGACGAAUUCGACAGCUCUAGCAGGGGGAAUCCCUGGAAGUUCUUCAGGAAAGACGUCGAGGAAGUCACGCACGACGGGAAUGUUUUCAAUGCCCUCGAGUGGUGCAGAGUUCAAUGCAUUCAAUGCAUAAAGGCGUGCCUCGGCAUUUUGCACCAGGUGAGCUUGGUAUGUAACUAUUUCAUCUGAAGGGUGUAGUAGAUGGAUGGUCUUAGUGGCGCAAAUGAUAGAAGCAGUAUGCGCCUUCAACCAAUCCAUCCCCAAAAUGAGGUCGAUGUUAGACAUCUUCAGGAUAAUGGGUGAAGCAUAGAAUUCCAGCCCUUCGAUUUCCACGGGGACGUCGACGCCAACCAUGGAGGUUUGACAUUGUCCCAUGGGGGUUUUUAUCACUACCGAAGUGUUCAUCUCCUCACACUUAAUGUCGCGCUUAUAUGCAAAAUCCUCUGACAUGAAUGAAUGCGAUGCUCCUGAAUCGAAUAAAACAGAUGCAGGUACUGAAUUUACGAGGAGUGUACCCAUCACAGUAGCAGGCUGGUCUUGAGCUUCGUUCAGAUCAACGUGGUUGGCAUGAACACGACCAUAGGACUAGGCAUUGUUGUUGCGGGGCUGGUUGUUCCCACGGCCAGUUGCUGGAAGGGCCAGUUGAUUCUGUUUCUGGUUACAUUCCCUAGCACGGUGCCCUGGUUGUCCGCACCUGAAGCACAACCCAUUCUCGGGAGUAGGAACAGGAGCUUGGGGUGGUGGAGCUGGAAGCCUCAGCUGCCUAGUUGGAGCAGUAGGCAGACGAGGUGCAGCAUAGGACUGCCUUGGGGCAGGUGCAUUUGGCUGGUACAUGCUGUUGGGAAUCCAUAUCUUGCGCUUCUGCGAGGACGGGCCCGAAGAUGAGCCCGUGUCACGGCUGCGCCUGUGAGAGCUCUGGUAUUCCUGCAGACCAAUUUCAACUUUGAUGGCUUUGUUCACCAAGGUGGCGAAAUCAGUAAAGUCAUGCACUAGAAGUGCGAGCUUGAUGUCGGCUUGAAGGCCGUCACGGAACUUCUCCUGUCUGCGUGCAUCAGUUGCAAUGUCCUCUUCAGCAUAGCGAGACAAGUCCAGAAACUCCCGCUGAUAAGCUUCCACGGUUUUGUUGCCCUGGGUGAGGUUGCGGAACUCACGCUUCUUCCUGUCCAUGAUCCCCUGAGGAAUGAAGCGGGCACGGAAGGCAGCUUGAAAGUCUGGCCAAGUGAUGAUUGUCCCAACAGGCAGAGUACGCCUGUGGCUGUCCCACCAUUGAGCCGCGGGUCCCUUCAGAAAGAAGGAAGCAAAGGUGACAUAGCGGGCAGGGGCUACUUCAGCAGACUCCAUCUCAUAGGUGAUGUCACGGAGCCAGUCAUCAGCAUCGAGCGGCUGAGUCGAGCUGCGGUACACGGUUGGGUUGAGGCGCAUGAAAUCCUGCAGAGUCACUUGGGCUGGCUGCUCGUUCAUAUUGGGGCGAGGGAACUGAGCCAUCACAUUCUCCAUGAACUGGCGAUUCAUCUCGAGCUGUUGGAUCAUACCAGCCAUGUACUCAGGUGGGGGUGGGAAGUCGCCACCACGACCACGACCAGCUGGUCUAACCAUCCUGCUAAUAUAUAACAGGGGUAGUUCAGCAAUUGAGAAAUUUGCAAAGGACAAGAAUCAUUCAUGAUGAAACAUGCAUAAUGAAAGCAGCACGAUAGAUACUUCAUGGUAGCCGGCAUAUCUUACAAAAGGGAUCAUGCAUAGAGUGCGGUAUACAGAGUUCAGUACAUAGACUAACACAUCAUAGGCGGCACGCAGGCUCGCGGCGAAUGCAUCUAAUACUAAUAAGCAAGACUACAUCAGUCCCAGGAGGUACUGUGGAGGUAGUCGUAGCCCGACAACUGGUAGUGAGGCAAUGGAUAGUCCACGUCAGCGGCCUGGGGGCCGCGGAUACUCUGGUGUAGAACCCGACGCUCAGGUGGCAGAAGAGGACCAAGUGCGGGAGAGUAGCCUCCCACCUCUGGCCAACCGACACCGUCGGGCAUCACGGUCCUGGCUGGGUAGAUUGCAGAACGCGGUAGCUGUCUAGAUAGAACAAAGGGGUGCAACAGCGUCAGAGCCCUGUAAAGGUGCCGACGAGUGGUGUACAACUCGUGGCGAAGAGCUCGGUUAGCUCGGUCCAACCCAUCAGCAUGCAGAACCAGGCUCUGAUGGUGGAAGGGCUCUCGAGUGACAGUGGAGUAGGCAGCAGUGUAGUAUCCCUCCACACCAACAUCGGAUGCGAUAGCAAUGUGCCUGAAAGGGGAAGUGUCCAACGCCUGAUACUCUCCACGAAGACGUGUCAGAGCAGCAUAGGCAGCAUCGUGAACUGCCAUUUCGAUGGUCACUCCAAUACCAUGAGCGAUGUGCAGCACGGUAGUGGAGUCAUACUCUCGAGAGUAGAGGUGGACGAUGGCACGGUACUGCUCCUGGUUAAAGUCCUGGUACUCCUCAUAGACGGUGUACUCAGGGUGCCAGCGAUAACCCAGAUAGGUCAUCAUCUCAGCUAGCACAGCAGGUGAUCCUGAGGCAUCAAUGGCCGCCGUGUGGCGCACGACCUGCCUCGUGGGUUCCAUCUGAAAACAAAGAUGUUUCAAUGGAGUCAAAUGACAAUGUGGGUACUAUUCAAAAUACUAUCCUACAGAAUAACUAUGGCUUAUCCAACUUUGGGGUGAACAUGGUAGCGGGAUCCUAAUGUUAGAGUUAGUAAAUUCGUUUAACCCGAGUAGGAGAGAGUUCACAGCCCCAGAGUAAAGGUCGAGGAGUAAAAGAUCCUAAUACCACCCAAUGGCGACGUGGGCCCAUAAGGUACACAGCCAAGUUAGUAAAAGUUUUGUAGUGACUAGACUCGAAUUCGGCCAAGGAGUGUGGAAAGGGGAUUCCUACAGGCAGUCGGCUCUGAUACCAACUUGUGACGCCCCCGAUUCAAUCGUACACUAAUCAUGCACGCAAACGUGUACGAUCAAGAUCAAGGACUCACGGGAAGAUAUCACAACACAACUCUAAAACAUAAAUAAGUCAUACAAGCAUCAUAAUACAAGCGAGGGGCCUCGAGGGCUCGAAUACAAGUGCUCGAUCAUAGACGAGUCAGCAAAAGCAACAAUAUCUGAGUACAGACAUAAGUUAAACAAGUUUGCCUUAAGAAGGCUAGCACAAACUGGGAUACAGAUCGAAAGAGGCGCGGGCCUCCUGCCUGGGAUCCUCCUAACUACUCCUGGUCGUCGUCAGCGGCCUGCACGUAGUAGUAGGCACCUCUAGAGUAGUAGUCGUCGUCGACGGUGGCGUCUGGCUCCUGGGCUCCAGCAUCUGGUUGCGGCAACCAGAAAGAAAGGAAAGGGGGAAAAGGGGGGAGAAAGCAACCGUGAGUACUCAUCCAAAGUACUCGCAAGCAAGGAGCUACACUACAUAUGCAUGUGUAUAUGUGUAAAGGGCCAUAUCAGUGGACUGAACUGCAGAAUGCCAGAAUAAGAGGGGGGUAGCUAAUCCUGUCGAAGACUACGCUUCUGGCAGCCUCCGUCUUGCAGCAUGUAGAAAGAGAGUAGAUUGAAGUCCUCCAAGUAGCAUCUCCAAGUAGCAUCUCCAAGUAGCAUCUCCAGUAGCAUCUCCAGUAGCAUCGCAUAGCAUAAUCCUACCCGGCAAUCCUUUCCUCGCCGCCCUGUUAGAGAGCGAUCACCGGGUUGUAUCUGGCACUUGGAAGGGUGUGUUUUAUUAAGUAUCCGGUUCUAGUUGUCAUAAGGUCAAGGUACAACUCCGGGUCGUCCUUUUACCGAGGGACACGGCUAUUCGAAUAGACUAACUUCCCUGCGGGGGUGCACCACAUAACACAACACGCUCGAUCCCAUUUGGCCGGACACACUUUCCUGGGUCAUGUCCGGCCUCGGAAGAUCAACACGUCGCAACCCCACCUAGGCACAACAGAGAGGUCAGCAUGCCGGUCUAACUCCUAUGGCCCAGGGGUCUAGGCCCAUCGCCCUUUGCACACCUGCACGUUGCGUACGCGAUCGGAAGCAGACCUGGCCUAGUGGCGUUCCAGUCCAAUCCGGCGCGUGCCACUCAGUCGCUGACGUCACGAAGGCUUCGGCUGAUACCACGACGCCGGGAUACCCAUAACUACUCCCGCGUAGAUGGUUAGUGCGUAUAGACCAAAUGGCCAGACUCAGAUCAAAUACCAAGAUCUCGUUAAGCGUGUUAUUAUGAAGCAACCGCGGACGCCGACCAGGGCCAGGCCCACCUCUCACCUAGGCGGUCUCAACCUUCCCUGUCGCUCCGCCACAAAGAUCCACAUAGAGGGCCGUCGGGACAAAGGUCCUUUCAGCCCCCAAUCCGUGAAUCACUCGCGGGUACUCUUCGAGCUGACCCGACUUUAGUCACCAUCUGUAUAGUAUGUAUGUAUGUAUAGUAUAUACCCGUGAUCACCUCCCAAGUGAUCACGGCCCGAUAGUAUAGCAAGGCAGACUGACAAGAAUGUAGGGCCAAUGAUGAUAAACUAGCAUCCUAUACUAAGCAUUUAGGAUUGCAAGUAAGGUAUCAACAGAUGUAGCAACAAUGUCAGGCUAUGCAUCAGAAUAGGAUCAACGGAAAGCGGUAACAUGCUACACUACUCUAAUGCAAGCAGUAUAGAGGAGAAUAGGCGAUAUCUGGUGAUCAAGGGGGGGCUUGCCUGGUUGCUCUGGCAAGAGAGAGGGGUCGUCAACACCGUAGUCGAACUGGGAAGCAGCAGUGUCGGUCUCGUAGUCUACCGAAGAGAAAAGGGGGAAGAAACAAUGAAUACCAUGCAAACAGAUGCAUAUUGAUGCAUGACAUGACAAGUAACGAUGCUAGGUGUGCCCAAUCGCGGUAGUAGGUGAUACCGACGAAGGGGGAAAACAUUCGGGAAAGUAUUCCCGGUGUUCCGCAUUUUCGGACCGGUGAACCGGAGGGGGAAAGUUGCGUGUUCGGUAUGCUAGGGGUGUGUGGCGGAUGAAUGGGCUGCGUAUCCAGAUUUGUCUCGUCGUUCUGAGCAACUUUCAUGUAGAAAGUAUUUUCAUCCGAGUUACGGAUUAAAAGAUAUGAUUUUCUAAAGAUUUAAAUCAUUUUCUGAUUUUAAUUAGUUAUUUAAUUCCAACAUUAUCCAUAACAGUGAAUGAUGACGUCAACAUGACAUCAGAGUGAUGUCAGCAGGUCAACUGGUCAGUUGACCAGUCAAACCAGACAGGUGGGUCCAGUGGGACCCACAUGUCAUUGUCAGGGACAUUAACAGAAUUCUAAAACUAACUAAAUGGGUUAAUUAGUGUGUGGGUCCUAGCAGUCAGUGAGAGAUUAAUGUUUUAAUUAACUAAUUUAAUUAAUUAGCAGUUUAUCUAUUUGUUUUUAUUCUUUUAUGGCAUGGGGCCCGCAUGUUAGUGCCACUGGGCUGCCCAGUCAGCACGUUGACUGGGUCAACCCAGUCAACGGGGCCCCCAUGGCCCGCUAGCAGUGACCCAGGUGUGGGGCCCGCCUAGCCACGUCGGCGGACGGCGCCGGAACUACGCCGGUGAGGCAAAACACAGCGGCGCGGCUCGGGAGGUGGCCGGAAAACACCUACAGGGCACCGUUCGUCGAGUUUUCGGGCGCGUUCGAGAGCUACGGCUGUGCCGCGUCCAACGGUGGUGAUUGUGGCGGCAGGGGUGACCGGAUUCGAGCGCGGCGAGCUCAUCGGCAGACGGCCGGAGUCGGACGCAAGAGGAAACUUCGACGUAGCCCGCUAGCGAGCGAACUGAGAGGCCAGGCGAGGCAUGCGUCAGGUGGCGAAUGCAACGGGCGCUGUCCCGUGACCAUUUGGUCACCGGAAGCAUGCCGGCGAUGAGCGCAGGCGGCGACGCGUUCGGGCGCUCAUCGGGGAUGGCGCUAGGAGGCACGGGAGGGAGCAUUCAUAGGCGCGUUGGGCUCCUAGGGACCCUAGGAGCACAACGGUGAGCUCGGACGAGCGUGACGGCGGAUGGGUCCACGGCGGCGAGGUACACCGUGGCGACCGGAGCCCGAGCACGACGAUGAGCUAGUUACCGCGCAAGCUAGGGGAGCUAGAGGGUGGAGGAGGGAGGCAGCUCACCUAGCGGCACGCACGAUGGCCGGUGAAUGGGUUAGUAGCUGCAGGGGCGUCGAUGGAGAUGAAGAAGAACGGCGGCGACGUUUGUCGGAGCAGAGGAAGAAGACGGCGGCGUCGGGGGCAUUGCGGUGACUCCGGUCUCCAACGGGUUGCGCCAGACGAGGGAGAGGACGACGGCGGCCCUUGGAGACACCGUGGGGCGGUGAGGUGGGCUCGGUGGCCGUGGUUAGGCCGGAGCCAUGGCGUCGGUGGCGUCCGGAUGCGAGGGGAACGAGGGGGGAGAGGCGCGGUGGAUCUGGAGGGGCGGAGAAAAUAUCUGCGGGGGGAGGGGGAUCUGACGAGGCCGAGAGGGGGCCAUGGCGGCCUUACCCUCCCCCGUCGCUGGCGAGCGGGUCCGGUGGCGACUGCGCCCUGUAGUGGCGCGCGUCCGAGGAACAGGAAGGGAGGGGUACGGGGCGAGGAGCUGGGCCGGCCAGGCUGGCUAUGGGCCAGAGGGCAUGGGCGGUGGCCAUGCGGGUGGUUUGGGCUGGCUGGUCCUGGGGGCUUCCCCCCUUUUUUUGUUUUUUUGUAAUUGCUUUCUUUUAUUUAUUUUCCCUUUCUGUUUUAUUUAGUUUUAGGGCAUUUAGGCAUUUUAUAAAAAGGUGUUUGCUUCACCAUAAUUACCAGUGCAAUAUUUGGCAACCCCCGAACAUUUUCGCUUUGACUUUUGAAAACUUAGGGUGUUUGUCACUAAUUCAUAUUUUGAAUUUGCAAUGAUUUUGAACUACCACUUGAUUAGCAACAGUAACACAGAUGACAUGGCAUCAUUAGAAGAGUUUUACUGUAGCCUAAUUAUCCGGGCGUUACACCAGGC
rnacentral:lncRNA from 1 species